CACCGGAGNGGGAGCCUGAGAAACGGCUACCACAUCCAAGGAUGGCAGCAGGCGCGCAAAUUACCCAAUCCCGACACGGGGAGGUAGUGACAAUAAAUAACAAUACGGGGUUCUUUAGGAUCUCGUAAUUGGAAUGAGUACAAUUUAAAUCUCUUAACGAGGAACAAUUGGAGGGCAAGUCUGGUGCCAGCAGCCGCGGUAAUUCCAGCUCCAAUAGCGUAUAUUAAAGUUGUUGCAGUUAAAAAGCUCGUAGUUGAAUUUCGGGGUUAGUAGGUUGGUCAUGCCUCUGGUAUGUACUGGUCUCACUGAUUCCUCCUUCCUUAUGAACCGUAAUGCCAUUAAUUUGGUGUUGCGGGGAAUUUGGACUGUUACUUUGAAAAAAUUAGAGUGUUUAAAGCAAGCUAACGCUUGAAUACAUUAGCAUGGAAUAAUGAAAUAGGACGUUCGAUCUUAUUUUGUUGGUUUCUAGGAUUGACGUAAUGAUUAAUAGGGAUAGUUGGGGGCAUUAGUAUUCAAUUGUCAGAGGUGAAAUUCUUGGAUUUAUUGAAGACUAACUACUGCGAAAGCAUUUGCCAAGGAUGUUUUCAUUAAUCAAGAACGAAAGUUAGGGGAUCGAAGACGAUCAGAUACCGUCGUAGUCUUAACCAUAAACUAUGCCGACUAGGGAUCGGAUGAUGUUAAUUUUUUAAUGACUCAUUCGGCGCCUUACGGGAAACCA
rnacentral:rRNA from 1 species